rnacentral:rRNA from 1 species
UCAUAUGUACAUGCCUAUAGUGUUAAUGAACCAUAUCCCAUUAGAACUUCAUAGUUAAGCACGUUUGGUCUACAGUAGAGCUGGGAUGGUUGAACUCAUGGGAAUUCUUAGUGGUUUACAUGCC